rnacentral:rRNA from 1 species
GUUUGUACCCGAAAUCAUUUUAGCUGACCCGUAAGGGAGGCGGAUGCUGAAGGUAUGGGGGAUGAUUGGGGUGAAGUCGUAACAAGGUAGCUGUAGGUGAACCUGCAGAAGGAUCA